GUAGAAGCUUAGGAUUUAUUUUUGAAGGAAAAGUUUCUAAGUACAGAGAGAGAGCUCAAAGUUCACACCAGUCACGGAGAUGCUAUGCUUUUAUUGUUAAAUAAAGGCAAAUAGGGCGGGGGUUGGGUUGGGUGGAGGUGGGUGUAUCCGUGGGCAUUGCUUCGGGGCAUCACACUCUGACUGCCAGAGAGGGAGAGACAGAGGAGUAGUAGCAUCCUGUCACCUAUCAAUCUCCCCUCUUCAGAAAUAGUUUGUUGAGUCCCGACGGAACAGAGGAUGAAAAUCAGUCUUUGCAGCACUAACUGAUUCCGUCUAAUUGUGGCCUCAGAAACCAUUGAACAAUCACAUUUGGCAAGUGGGUGAAAAAGUCCAAAAAUAAUUUAGUCUCUACCCAGUCAAUCCUUUUUGCAGUCAUCAAGGAGUCUUGAGAAGAUCACCAGUCAGUCAGUCAAAGGGCCAUCGUAGAUGGAUAAAACUGUCUCCGUCCCAGCGAGGCCAUGCCUCCUGCCUGCAUGGUGUGGUAGGGGCGUGGCUCCAGUAUGAAGCUUAUUCAGACAACCUGAUUGGAAGUUACCUCGGCUGCUCAGUUGUCCGUCCUCCAGGAUCCUCAGUCUGUCUGCCGCUCCCUGCCUGGAUUUCUCCGCCUGGAUUUCCCUGCCAUUCCACUGUCUCCAUAGCUGUGUCCCUGGCAAUAAACCAGUUUCCCCCGG
ensembl:lncRNA